CUCAAAAAAAAAAAAAGAAAGAAACAUUUUCAAAAGCAAAGCAUUUACUAUGAGGUGUAAUGGAGGAAAAAGGAAAGGCUGGAUGACUUAUACACCAAUAAUCAUUCAAUAUAUCUAUUUCCUCAUCCUGUACCAUGUAGGGAGUUUCCCUCUGCCCUUCUCCAGCCAAAAUGACUCCGCAGGAGAAGCAUAUCUGAAUGGUCUCUUGUACUCAUCCAAUGCCUGGCACAGGGCUGGGAUUCAGUUUCUCAAUAACACCUCUCUGGGAAAGCCUCACUUAACAUA